rnacentral:tRNA from 1 species
AACUAAUGAACUUGUAAAGUAUAUAUUUUGAAAGUAUAAUAAAGAGGUGCCAAUUCUCUAUUAGUUU